rnacentral:lncRNA from 1 species
GGCGACGACCGACAACACCACGGGCGCAGCACACACCCCACCACCCGCCGCCGCCGCCGCCAUCACAGCCGCAGCCACACGCGACACAGACGCGCACGCGUGAGCAAACACGCGCACGGCGCCCGAGAGGGGGCACAAAAGGAGGAGGAAGACGAAACAAAAAAAAAGGAAAAAAGAGUGCCGCGCGCGCGCGUGACCGCCCCAAGCGAGGAACGCACCUGUCGCUAUCGCUCGCUUGUAUCUUGUCUCUUUGGGCGACGGUAUCGGAGCCUGCCGGUGCGCUUUUUUACCGCAAGAGACAGGCCGGGGGACGAUGGCGAGGAGAGAUAAAAGGUGCCUGUAGCGGCGGUGGCGGCGACGACGACGACGACGACGACGAAAAAAAAGAGUGACGACGGGGCGACCUCGGGGAGGGUGUGUGCGUGCGCUUUCCCACCCUGGAGCGCCGCUCUUUUGCGGACGGGCACCGACGAGGACAGGCGGUAGCCAUGGCCAUCGGCCCGCCCACGGUCCCCUGGUCUUUUUUCCUCGCUUUUUUUUCUUUUUUCCCCCCGCAUGCCGCCCCUCCCCGCGCGUGUGCGUGGCCCGAGCGAAAAGGAAAAAGAACAAAAAAAGGGCGCGAGAUUGCCUUUUGCGCCCACGUCGCCCC